CCUACGGGGUGCAGCAGUGAGGAAUAUUGGUCAAUGGGCGCGAGCCUGAACCAGCCAAGUAGCGUGAAGGAUGACUGCCCUACGGGUUGUACACUGCUUUUAUACGGGAAUAACGCGCCUUACGUGUAGGGCUUUGCAUGUAACGUAUGAAUAAGGACCGGCUAAUUCCGUGCCAGCAGCCGCGGUAAUACGGAAGGUCCGGGCGUUAGCCGGGUUUAUUGGGUUUAAAGGGAGCGUAGGCCGCAUGUCAAGCGUCCUGUGAAAUGUCCGGGCUCAACCCGGGCCUUGCAGCGCAAACUGGCGUGCUUGAGUCCGCGGAAAGCAGGCGGAAUUCGUCGUGUAGCGGUGAAAUGCUUAGAUAUGACGAAGAACCCCGAUUGCGAAGGCAGCUUGCUGCAGCGGAACUGACGCUGAUGCUCGAAAGCGCGGGUAUCGAACAGGAUUAGAUACCCCAGUAGUC
rnacentral:rRNA from 1 species